CUGUCUCAGUUCGGAUCGGAGUCUGNAACCCGACUCCGUGAAGCUGGAUUCGCUAGUAAUCGCGCAUCAGCCAUGGCGCGGUGAAUACGUUCCCGGGCCUUGUACACACCGCCCGUCAAGCCAUGGAAGCCGGGAGUGCCUGAAGUAUGCAACCGCAAGGAGCGUCCUAAGGUAAAACCGGUGACUGGGGCUAAGUCGUAACAAGGUACC
rnacentral:rRNA from 1 species